rnacentral:ncRNA from 1 species
GGUUAAGUGAAUAAGGGCGCACGGUGGAUGCCUUGGCACUAGGAGCCGAUGAAGGACGGGACUAACACCGAUAUGCUUUGGGGAGCUGUACGUAAGCUAUGAUCCAGAGAUUUCCGAAUGGGGGAACCCAACAUCUUUGAUAGGAUGUUACGUUUGCGUGAAUACAUAGCGCAAUCGAGGUAGACGCAGAGAACUGAAACAUCUAAGUACCUGCAGGAAGAGAAAGAAAAUUCGAUUCCCUGAGUAGCGGCGAGCGAAACGGGAAAAGCCCAAACCAAUGAGCUUGCUCAUUGGGGUUGUAGGACUCCGAUCUGGUAGUUCUUUCAGAUAGUCGAA